CACAGUUGACUUGUUGGAUGUACUGGUUCCCCCGAGGACCAUUCGUAUCACCACUCCUCAUCGGAGGUUCCACCUGGAAUUUAAGACAGAAAUAAAACGAGUCCAAAGAAUAGUGGAGGGUGUGUUCUAUCGUAUUGGACAGAAUCUGGAGCGGUACAGGCUGCAUGGAACCAGUCGCUCACACCAUUGACGACCAUAAUGCCAACUCUAUAUAAGGAAUCAAAUCAUGAUCAUGCAUCCAUGUAUUCUAAUUAUAUGCGUUUAAUUACAGUGAGCUCAGUGUUUAACUGAUUUUGUAGUUAUUUCAAUACCUAUCCAAUACAAUGUAAUAAAACCACACCUUUUAUAAAAUUGUAACCACACCCACAAAUCACUUGUUCAUUUACACGUGCGUAAAUAACAAUAAUAAUUAUAGGAAAUCCAGCUAAAAUGUAUAGAACGCAAAACUAAAAUAAAAUAUUCAGAGAUGUCUUAGAAAGUGGCAGCAAUUAAUGCUAUCAAUAGUUUAGUUGGUGAGGUGUCCUUCAAUUUCUAACCUCCUUACGAUCAUGUCCACAUCAUAACUAUCUCCCUGCAGUGGACGAGCAUAAUUAUUUACUGCUAUACUGCAUGCACAAUGGCUACACAGGUAAUGUACAUGUACACACAACACACCAUUGAACAUACAGUACAGUAUAAAUACUUGCCUUUUUAGAUGCUUCUAUAAUCGAGAUGAGCUUCUUCAUACCAAUGUGACACCUAUAGAGAGAGGCACACAAUGUCGGCUAACACAGUUGACUUGUUGGAUGUAUUGGUUCCCCCGAGGACCAUUCGUAUCACCACUCCUCGUCGGAGGUUCCACCUGGAAUUUAAGACAGAAAUAAAACGAGUCCAAAGAAUAGUGGAGGGUGUGUUCUAUCGUAUUGGACAGAAUCUGGAGCGGUACAGGCUGCAUGGAACCAGUCGCUCACACCAUUGACGACCAUAAUGCCAACUCUAUAUAAGGAAUCAAAUCAUGAUCAUGCAUCCAUGUAUUCUAAUUAUAUGCGUUUAAUUACAGUGAGCUCAGUGUUUAACUGAU